rnacentral:rRNA from 1 species
UACGUAUGGAGCAAGCGUUAUCCGGAUUUACUGGGUGUAAAGGGAGCGUAGGCGGCGUACCAAGCCUGAUGUGAAAACCCGGGGCCCAACCCCGGGAGUGCAUUGGGAACUGGCAAGCUAGAGUGUCGGAGAGGCAGGCGGAAUUCCUAGUGUAGCGGUGAAAUGCGUAGAUAUUAGGAGGAACACCAGUGGCGAAGGCGGCCUGCUGGACGAUGACUGACGCUGAGGCUCGAAAGCGUGGGGAGCAAACAGG